rnacentral:rRNA from 1 species
UACAGAUGUCUCAAGCGUUGUUCGGAUUCAUUGGGCGUAAAGGGUGCGUAGGUGGCUGGGCAAGUCUGGUGUGAAAUCCCGGGGCUCAACCCUGGAACUGCACUGGAUACUGCUUUGCUAGAGUACUGGAGAGGGAACUGGAAUUUACGGUGUAGCAGUGAAAUGCGUAGAUAUCGUAAGGAAGACCAGUGGCGAAGGCGAGUUCCUGGACAGUUACUGACACUGAGGCACGAAGGCCAGGGGAGCAAACGGG